GACGAACGCUGGCGGCGUGCUUAACACAUGCAAGUCGAGCGGUAAGGCCCUUUCGGGGUACGACGAGCGGCGAACGGGUAGAGUAACACGUGGGUGACCUCGCCCUCCAGCUCUGGGAGUAAGACCUGGGAAACCGGGGUACCUAAUAACUGGAUAUGACUCCAUGACGCAUGUUGUGGGGUGGAAAGCCUUGUGCGGCUGAGGAUGGGCCCGGCCGGCCUAUCAGCUUGUUGGUGGGGGGA
rnacentral:rRNA from 1 species